UUAUUGGAGAGUUUGAUCCUGGCUCAGGACGAACGCUGGCGGCGUGCCUAAUACAUGCAAGUCGAGCGAAUCUGAGGGAGCUUGCUCCCAAAGAUUAGCGGCGGACGGGUGAGUAACACGUGGGCAACCUGCCUGUAAGACUGGGAUAACUCCGGGAAACCGGGGCUAAUACCGGAUAAUAUCUAUUUAUACAUAUAAUUAGAUUGAAAGAUGGUUCUGCUAUCACUUACAGAUGGGCCCGCGGCGCAUUAGCUAGUUGGUGAGGUAACGGCUCACCAAGGCGACGAUGCGUAGCCGACCUGAGAGGGUGAUCGGCCACACUGGGACUGAGACACGGCCCAGACUCCUACGGGAGGCAGCAGUAGGGAAUCUUCCGCAAUGGACGAAAGUCUGACGGAGCAACGCCGCGUGAGUGAUGAAGGUUUUCGGAUCGUAAAACUCUGUUGUUAGGGAAGAACAAGUACCGGAGUAACUGCCGGUACCUUGACGGUACCUAACCAGAAAGCCACGGCUAACUACGUGCCAGCAGCCGCGGUAAUACGUAGGUGGCAAGCGUUGUCCGGAAUUA
rnacentral:rRNA from 1 species